AAAAUGACUCUCGGCAACGGAUAUCUCGGCUCUUGCAUCGAUGAAGAACGUAGCAAAAUGCGAUACUUGGUGUGAAUUGCAGAAUCCCGUGAACCAUCGAGUCUUUGAACGCAAGUUGCGCCUGAAGCCAUUAGGUUGAGGGCACGCCUGCCUGGGUGUCACAC
rnacentral:rRNA from 4 species